rnacentral:rRNA from 1 species
CGAGGCCCCAGGUCAGGCGGGAUCACCCGCUGAAUUUAAGCAUAUC